rnacentral:rRNA from 1 species
CUCUGGUAUUGAUUGGUGCUUGCAUCAUGAUUUACAUUUGAGUGAGUGGCGAACUGGUGAGUAACACGUGGGAAACCUGCCCAGAAGCGGGGGAUAACACCUGGAAACAGAUGCUAAUACCGCAUAACAACUUGGACCGCAUGGUCCGAGUUUGAAAGAUGGCUUCGGCUAUCACUUUUGGAUGGUCCCGCGGCGUAUUAGCUAGAUGGUGGGGUAACGGCUCACCAUGGCAAUGAUACGUAGCCGACCUGAGAGGGUAAUCGGCCACAUUGGGACUGAGACACGGCCCAAACUCCUACGGGAGGCAGCAGUAGGGAAUCUUCCACAAUGGACGAAAGUCUGAUGGAGCAACGCCGCGUGAGUGAAGAAGGGUUUCGGCUCGUAAAACUCUGUUGUUAAAGAAGAACAUAUCUGAGAGUAACUGUUCAGGUAUUGACGGUAUUUAACCAGAAAGCCACGGCUAACUACGUGCCAGCAGCCGCGGUAAUACGUAGGUGGCAAGCGUUGUCCGGAUUUAUUGGGCGUAAAGCGAGCGCAGGCGGUUUUUUAAGUCUGAUGUGAAAGCCUUCGGCUCAACCGAAGAAGUGCAUCGGAAACUGGGAAACUUGAGUGCAGAAGAGGACAGUGGAACUCCAUGUGUAGCGGUGAAAUGCGUAGAUAUAUGGAAGAACACCAGUGGCGAAGGCGGCUGUCUGGUCUGUAACUGACGCUGAGGCUCGAAAGUAUGGGUAGCAAACAGGAUUAGAUACCCUGGUAGUCCAUACCGUAAACGAUGAAUGCUAAGUGUUGGAGGGUUUCCGCCCUUCAGUGCUGCAGCUAACGCAUUAAGCAUUCCGCCUGGGGAGUACGGCCGCAAGGCUGAAACUCAAAGGAAUUGACGGGGGCCCGCACAAGCGGUGGAGCAUGUGGUUUAAUUCGAAGCUACGCGAAGAACCUUACCAGGUCUUGACAUACUAUGCAAAUCUAAGAGAUUAGACGUUCCCUUCGGGGACAUGGAUACAGGUGGUGCAUGGUUGUCGUCAGCUCGUGUCGUGAGAUGUUGGGUUAAGUCCCGCAACGAGCGCAACCCUUAUUAUCAGUUGCCAGCAUUAAGUUGGGCACUCUGGUGAGACUGCCGGUGACAAACCGGAGGAAGGUGGGGAUGACGUCAAAUCAUCAUGCCCCUUAUGACCUGGGCUACACACGUGCUACAAUGGAUGGUACAACGAGUUGCGAACUCGCGAGAGUAAGCUAAUCUCUUAAAGCCAUUCUCAGUUCGGAUUGUAGGCUGCAACUCGCCUACAUGAAGUCGGAAUCGCUAGUAAUCGCGGAUCAGCAUGCCGCGGUGAAUACGUUCCCGGGCCUUGUACACACCGCCCGUCACACCAUGAGAGUUUGUAACACCCAAAGUCGGUGGGGUAACCUUUUAGGAACCAGCCGCCUAAGGUGGGACAGAUGAUUAGGGUGAAGUCGUAACA